rnacentral:rRNA from 1 species
CGCCCAGACUCCUACGGGAGGCAGCAGUGGGGAAUAUUGCACAAUGGGGGAAACCCUGAUGCAGCGACGCCGCGUGAGCGAAGAAGUAUUUCGGUAUGUAAAGCUCUAUCAGCAGGGAAGAAAUUGACGGUACCUGAGUAAGAAGCUCCGGCUAAAUACGUGCCAGCAGCCGCGGUAAUACGUAUGGAGCAAGCGUUAUCCGGAUUUACUGGGUGUAAAGGGAGCGUAGGCGGCCUGCCAAGUCUGAUGUGAAAUACCGGGGCUCAACCCCGGGGCUGCAUUGGAAACUGGCAGGCUGGAGUGCAGGAGAGGUAAGUGGAAUUCCUAGUGUAGCGGUGAAAUGCGUAGAUAUUAGGAGGAACACCGGUGGCGAAGGCGGCCUGCUGGACUGCGACUGACGUUGAGGCCCGAAAGCGUGGGGAGCAAACAGGAUUAGAUACCCCGGUAGCC